rnacentral:rRNA from 1 species
CCUGCGGAAGGAUCAUUGUCGAAACCUGCAAAGCAGACCGCGAACCAGUUCCCAACAACCCCGGGGCAGCGGGGGGCGGGCAACCUCCCGCCGCGGCCCCAACCCCGUCGCCGCGCGCGCCCGCGCCGCGUCGAUGGGGCUAACAAACUCGGGCGCGGAAUGCGCCAAGGAAUACACAACGUAGCGCUCCCCUCCCCUCCACGCCCCGUCCGCGGGGCGGCGGGGGAGCCCGGGGUGUCUAUCGAAUGUCCAAACGACUCUCGGCAACGGAUAUCUCGGCUCUCGCAUCGAUGAAGAACGUAGCGAAAUGCGAUACUUGGUGUGAAUUGCAGAAUCCCGUGAACCAUCGAGUCUUUGAACGCAAGUUGCGCCCGAAGCCAUUAGGCCGAGGGCACGUCUGCCUGGGCGUCACGCAUCGCGUCGCCCCCCUCCCCCGCGGGGUGGGGCGGAGAUUGGCCCCCCGUGCGACCCGAGCGCGCGCGGCCGGCCCAAAUGCGAAUCCGCCGUCGGCGCGCGUCGCGACCAGUGGUGGUUGAUGAUUCAACUCGCGUGCUGUCGCGCCCCGCGUCGCCGUCGGCAAGGAAACGAUUGCGAAACCCAACGGCGCGAGCAUCGUGCCCACGACCGCGACCCCAGGUCAGGCGGGAUCACCCGCUGAGUUUAAGCAUAUCAAUAAGC